GACGUAGGGCGCGAGCGUUGUCCGGAUUUAUUGGGCGUAAAGAGCUCGUAGGCGGCUUGUUGUGUCGACUGUGAAAACCGCGGCCUUACUGCGGGCUUGCAGUUGAGUACGGGCAGGCUAGAGUCGGUAGGGGAGACUGGAAUUCCUGGUGUAGCGGUGAAAUGCGCAGAUAGUCAGGAGGAACACCGGUGGCGAAGGCGGGUCUCCUGGGCCGAUACUGACGCUGGAGGAAGCGAAAGCGUGGGGGGAGCGAACAGG
rnacentral:rRNA from 1 species